GUAUGUGUGUGUGUGUGUUGGCGGGACAGGAGCUUGUGGAGAGUAGAGAACUGAGUGAGUGGAAUCAGAUCUGUGAGUUAAAAAGUUGGUUGUCUUUGGAAGGUGGAAAUGUACUUCCCAAGGUGAAAGGAGGGAAGAGAGUGAGCAAAGCGGAGAAACACCAGCCGAUCAGCAGAAGGCACCAUGCAGACCAUGUUGCCUCAGCAACUGGACACUGGAAGCAGACCGAGUCCCUGGUUCCCAACAUCAGCUGUCAGUGAGAAACUUUUCAAGUUCUCUGGAGGCAUCUUGUGACCCUGGAAGAAUGUGGUUUGAGGAAGGUUAAUCUGGCAUAAUUUAUGGGCAGGAAAGGAAAGGGGACCCUGGGAAUAAGGAGAACACUCCCUUGUCACAGACAUCUAGAAAGAAUGGCUAAUGACUGGCAAAACAAUGAGAUUAAACAAUCCAUUGAUUGUGCAUUUAAACUUCUAAUUUUAAAUCUAGCACACUAAUUAAGCAUAAAUUAUUUUGCCAUUCAAAUGUAUUCUGGUUGAAGCUUUCUCGCUGUUGGAGGUGACAGGGGAGGAGGGUGGAGGGGAAGUAAUCUCGAGUCAACAAUCAGCAUCAUGUCUGCUUCUUCCGAAGAGCUCUAGGUUUUGGGGCCUUGCUCGAGGGUCUUACCUCUGGAUGUGCAACUGGGGUCAGGGGCCAGUCUCUGGGACUUGCCAUUGUUAAAGGUGGCCUGAAGCUGCCUUGGCCUUUCCAAGUCCUUGACUUGCCAAGGACAUCUGGAGUGGAGCAUGGAGCCAAAUGCUUCUACGCUAGAACAAGCCAGAAGGUAAACCAGAUACCGCACUAAACAUAGCUUCUAGACAAGGCUAUUUGAGACACUAGCCAUUGUCCUUGUGGUAAUCCAAGAGGUACAUAUCAAGUUUAGCUGGGCAGAAAGAAGUGUAGUACCUUCAACCCUCUAUGAUGAGGCCAUAGCAGGAUAAAAAUGGAAGGGGAGGCAGAGGGGCAAGGUAUGCUCCCUACUCCCUUAGAGGUACGUCUGAGGACCGUGUCUUCACAAAGCUACUGUUGCUCUCGGACCUCUGGGGUGGAUUCAUUUUGCGGAGCACUCACAUUACUUCACCUGCUAGACCAAGCCACAUUUGGGGUGGGAGCAAGCUUGCUUUCCUGCAUAGCUGACCCGGAGAUAAGCCCCCAUUUCUGGGGGGGGGGAAAGCUGAGUGAUUGAUCUGUUGGUCUGAGUUGAGGCUCAAGCAAAGUGAGUUCCUCCUGGCCCUGAGAAGGUGGAAGGUUUAGACAGUGUGACCUCAUCAUCCCCUGUGAGCUUUGCAACAAGACUGAAAAGCCAACCAGACAACCACGAGUCUAGGAUCAAAGUGUCUGCACAGCAAUCCUGUUCCACGGCGACAGCGGAUGGACGCUACUGCAUAAGAGAAGCUGAAGAGACUCAGUCGCAAUGUGGAUGAGAAGCAGCCAGGCAGAAGAAGAGUGCAUGUGGUUGCAUCUCUGUGGAGUUCAGAAUCAGGCGUGACUCAUCUGGGCUGCCAUCGCAGGUGCCAUCUACAGUAUCUGAAGGAGCUGGUCCACCUGGCACAUGGGGAGUCCUUCUCUGUAUUGGUCAGCAUUCAAUAGACACAUGAGCGUUUAUCCCCUCUAAUAUAUUUGGAUUUUGGUAACCGAU
rnacentral:sRNA from 1 species